rnacentral:rRNA from 1 species
GAAUCUUCCACAAUGGGCGAAAGCCUGAUGGAGCAACGCCGCGUGAGUGAAGAAGGUUUUCGGAUAGUAAAACUCUGUUGUAAGGGAAGAACAAGUACAGUAGUAACCGGCUGUACCUUGACGGUACCUUAUUAGAAAGCCACGGCUAAAUACGUGCCAGCAUCCGCGGUAAUCCGGAGGUGGCAGUCGUUGUCCGGAAUUAUUGGGCGUAAAGCCGGCGCAGGCGGUCCUUUAAGUCGUAUGGCAAAGCCCACGGCUCAACCGUGGAGGGCCAUUGGAAACUGGGGGACUUGAGUGCAGAAGAGGAAAGUGGAAUUCCAAGUGUAGCGGUGAAAUGCGUAGAGAUUUGGAGGAACACCAGUGGCGAAGGCGACUUUCUGGUCUGUAACUGACGCUGAGGCGCGAAAGCGUGGGGAGCAAACAG